CUUGGAUUAAGAAAAAGCCUUAUUUAUUCUACAAGUACUUUGUUACAUCCAUUCAAUUCCACAACUUGUGACAACAUACACAAAACUAUACUUUUAAUUUUAUUAUACCAUAACCAAGACUUUAUAGCUUGCUAGUGAUAUUAAUGUUCCUAACUUUAGAUGUUUUUGGAGUUGCAUCUUUUGGUACAACAAUGGUAAGAACACCAUUUUCACAUUGAGCUUUAAUUUGAUCCACCUUCACAUCUUCCGGCAGCUCGAUCUCCCUCGAGAAAUCGCCACCUCUCCCUCCUCCUCGCUCCGCCACAUGCCACACUAUAUCCUUCUCUUUACCGUGGAAUUCGUCCUUCUUGCCGCCGUGCCCCUCCGCCUUCACCACCAACACAUUUCCAUCUUCAACUUGCACCUUUAUAUCCUCCUUGCUAUAUCCUGGGACAUUGAUUUUGAAGAUGUGAGAAUUAGGAGAUUCAAUCCAAUCGAGAAGAGCUGGAGAACCAGAAAAGCUUCGAUGAAUCGUCGGACUCAAUAAGAAUCUUCUAAAAGGAUCACCAAAAAUCGCCAUUUUUAUUUUGUAUCUGUUUAUUUUAGGAGGAGAAUGCUAUAUAAAGAAAUGGAGGUUUAAUGGAGUUUUUUUCUGGAAGAUCUAGAAG
rnacentral:misc_RNA from 1 species